rnacentral:lncRNA from 1 species
AUGCUACAAAUACCUUGGAGCCAAAACAGCCACGUUCCUCAAAAUCCGGUCAUUCUGCUGUAUAAAGAGCAUGUCCUCUGCAGUCUCUUCAGUGGACCUUCAGUGACCAGUCUCCUCAGCAUGAAAGAAACAUUCAACACCGGCCUGUUGUUUGCAGCAUCCGAACCUGAGGAGGAACAAGCUCCUUUUCUGCCCUGGCUGGAGUUAAGAAAAUGCA